rnacentral:rRNA from 1 species
UCACCUACGGGGGGCAGCAGUGAGGAAUAUUGGUCAAUGGGCGGGAGCCUGAACCAGCCAAGUCGCGUGAGGGAAGACGGUCCUACGGAUUGUAAACCUCUUUUGCCGGGGAGCAACGGGGUCCUUGCGAGGGCCCAAUGAGAGUACCCGGAGAAAAAGCAUCGGCUAACUCCGUGCCAGCAGCCGCGGUAAUACGUAGGUGGCGAGCGUUGUCCGGAAUUACUGGGUGUAAAGGGAGUGUAGGCGGGAAAGCAAGUCAGAAGUGAAAACUAUGGGCUUAACCCAUAGCCUGCUUUUGAAACUGU